AUCAAAUCGCCUUAAAAAGCGAAUUAGGCUGGUGAUGACGCCGCGCUGCAUUUAUAAGCAAACGCUGCUCCUGGGCGCGCGGAUGUAAUAUUCUCCUUCCGUCGGAUCAACGAUGAAGUCACUCGCUUCGAUUGUCCUGAUGAUUGUGUUGGUGUUGGGAGCUUUUAUGGUCCGUGAAAGCCAUUCGAUCGGAUAUCGUUUAUCCUCGCCUCACGGCCGUUCUCAGCAACGUCAUGGAUCUGACAAUUAUCCUUCGGAAUAUUUCAGUGCCGGAAGAGAACUGGAGAGGCCAUCGGAAAACAUUGACAACCUGAUGUUUUAAGCGUCCUAGAAAUGACCAUAUCCGUAGUGAACUGGAUUAUAAUUACCGUAAACUUCGUAUUACCCACGCAAUUUGAUUGAAUUUCCCCACUGUAUCCAUCCAAUAGCCGCCAUUUGAUUGUACAUCCUUUGAAAUAAACACGGAAAGACAAUACAACCUCAAGGUCUAGUUGAUUUGGCAAAGAAAACCCGUUGAAGGGCGUUGUCUCGUUGCACAUACCGAGAUGGGGGAAGAAGACAUGCUAUAAUAAACCAGAAGUUCUCAACAAGCCAACUUUAGUAGAUGCUCAGAAUUCAGCCAGUUCUGACUAGUAAAAAAAUGAAGAUUGCCCUAGCAACAACAUUCUUGGCGAUACUUUUGUUGGGAGUCGGGAUCGUCGAAGCUGCUCCCAUUUCGAUCCAUCCGUAUUUGUCAUUCCGGACGUAUGGAAUCCAGCCGCAUUUUCAACCAUAUUAUCGUGUCACCAUGCCUCAUCAGCAGCAAAAUCAAAUUUAUUCAAUGGAAUAUUAUGGAGCCAGGGAUCCAUUCGAGAACAGGCCAAUCCCGAGACCACAUUGAAAUGUUUGUUUUAGACGUACCGGUUACGAUUUAGCGUUUGUUAUUGCAGUGCUUCCUUUUUUAGUUAAUUGCAGUGGUUGGAGAAUUACUAAGGGCAAAUCAGUUUCUGUUUCAAUCAAUAAUUUACCUGAAAUAGACAAAUGAAUCACGA